rnacentral:lncRNA from 10 species
AAACACCCAAGAAUUAUCAAUAAAAAAAUAAAUUAAAAAAAAAAAUAAAUAAAUAAAUCCAGCAAAAAUAAAAAUAAAAAAUAAAAUCCCCUUGAAUACAUUUGAGGUAAUGUUGUAGUUUUCAGCUCCUCCCACGAGAGAUUUUAUGGAGUGCCUAACUGUGCUACCCGGGUGCUGCUCCUGUCGUUAGUGGUGGCACCCAGGAGGAAUUAAAAUUACAAGAGUGUUUCCUUCCAGAUGUUGUUGCUACAGGCUCAAGGUGCUCUUUUAACUGGGACAUCAGGCUUUCUUGAAAUAGACAAGAAUUCUAGAAACAUGACAUUGUGCCUGAUUCAUCGCUUCAACUUGCCACUGACUCAUUCUCUCCUUGAUAGGUUAUUCAACAGUAACUUUAAUUACAUCAUUUACUUAUUGUUUUCUUCCUUGAUUUAUUCUCUUUCUACAAUUCUUGUUUAUCAUCUCAGUGAUUGGACCAUCUCACCUCUGAGACUUGGGUAGAAUUCUGUGGACUCUGGAAAUAGACAUGGAGGUUUUCAUGUAUCUCUGUUAAUGUGUACAAACACCCCCAGGCUUGUACACUUGAAAUACAUCAGUAGGAAGGGUAGUUCUCAAUUUGCUAGUGUUUCACACAGCUUGUCUUAUUUAAUGAUCUCAGCUGCCCUAUGAAGUAGAUACCAUCCUAUUAAAAAAUGCAGGAGCAGAGGCUCUGAGAGGGGACUGUAACUUACCCAAGAUCAUGUGGUAGAUUGCAAAACUGGUUCCAAAUCCCUACCCUUCCCUGUACGCACACCUUUUGCCAUUCAUCUGCAAUGUCCUUUUCUGAUUCUGGGCUCAGCAAUAUAACUUGCUCUGGCCAACAGGAUAACAACAGCAAAUGUGAUGUAAGCAAAAGCUUGAGAAAUACUUGUGCAACUAAUCAUGUUUGCCUUCUCUCUUGUACCUGUGCCAUUGCCAUGAGAACAUGCCUGGGCUAGGAUUAGAGACACUUGGAGCAGAGCUGAGUCAUCCCAGCUGUCCCAGUUGAGGCCAGCCUAGGUCAGUCGAUGGCAACCAAGCCCUAAGCAUGUUAGUGAGCCCAGCCAUGAUCAGCACAACCACCUAGCCAACCAUCCCAGACCUGUGAUCAAUAAAGCCUUACUAUUCCAUACCACCUAGGUUUUGUGAUUAUUUAUUUCACAGAAUUAUUAUGGCAGUAUGUAACUGAUAGAAGCGGUGUACAGGGAAGAGUAUUUGUUAGUCCGUUUUCACACUGCUGAUAAAGACAUAUGCGAGACUGAGCAAUUUACAAAAGAAAGAGGUUUAAUGGACUUACAGUUCCACGUGGCUGGGGAAGCCUCACAAUUGUGGUGAAAGGUGAAAGUCACAUCUCACAUGGCAGCAGACAAGAGAAGAAGAGCUUGUGCAGGGAAACUCCCCUUUUAAAAACCAUCAGAUCUCAUGAUACUUAUUCACUAUCAUCAGAAUAGCCUGGGAAAGACCUGUCCCCAUGAUUCAGUUACUUCCCACCGUGUCACUCCCACAACAAGUGGGAAUUCAAGAUGAGAUUUGGGUAGGGACACAGCAAAACCAUAUUAGAGCAGAUCUCUGGAAUUGGGCAGGCCAAGGUUUGAAUCCCAUCUGUUAUUUGGAGUGUGUGUUUCUUUUUGAGACUAAUCUCCUUACCCUUGAAAUGAGGUAAUAUACUUCCCUCAUAGGGUUGCUGGGAAGAUUAAACACGAGGUGAAGUAAAUAAAGCCCCAGGGACAUAAGCAAAAAAUAAUGGCUUCUCACAGCAAUGCUCCAGAACAUACAACAAGGGAAUACUGGGCCCAGUCCCAGGACUAUCCAAGUGUGAAGCCAACACCUUUUCACAUCAACUCCAAGGGCACCAUCACAUACACUAUAAUAUGAAUCAUGACCCCCGGAGUUGUGUGGAGUUUCUGCAUCUCUCCCUCCCCACUGUGGCUACCCUCAUCCAGCAACCAUCCUGUCUCUCACCGGUAUUACCGCAGCUGAGACCCAGGUCUUAAGGAAGCUGAGACCCAGGCCAGCAGGGGCCUCACAGCUUGGAAAAAGAGGAGGGUGUAAGACUCUGGAUGAAGCUGAGAGAUCCUUCCAUGCUUGGCUGAGAGACUACACAGACAUGAGCUUCAGGAGACUCCAAAGCCUCGGAUCCCCUUCUAAACUAGCACUGAAUUCUGAUUGGCUGUCUUUGCCUGCCUCAGUUUGUUCCUUUUACUGAUUGGCUAGGUUCUUCUGCCCAUGGCAGAGCCCUGCUCCAGCCACCGGAUCCUCCCACCUGCCACAGUGUCACCUGGGAUUGGCUGGGCUCUGAAAGGCCAGGCUGGCUUGACUCUUGCCAUCAUCAGAUUCUUCCUCAUUAAACAAAUGAAUCACAAUCCUAAUUAAUUUGAGCAACAGAAUUUAUGUAACUACUCCCAGCAGGAUGUCUGCUCUCAGUCAGCAGAGAGAUUACUUCCUCUCUCUGGGAAAUUCCAGCCUUGCUGGUCAAUAAGCCUUAAUGAUGACUGAAAUCUCCCAUCUGUCUCUGCUCAGGGCAGGUAACCCCUACUAAGCAGACACCCAGUUGGCUCGAGGCAGUACCCCGGGCACCGGCAGGACAAGGACAACGAUCUCCCAGCCUAGAUGUGUCCUGAGCCACAUGGAGCACACAGAUUACAGGAUCUGACUCCCAUUUGGGCCUUCCACCUCCGCUGGCCUAAGCAGUCAAGUGUCAGAGAGCACUGGACCUAACAGCUCCCUCACCAGAGCAGCUGUGAUUCCUUCUUCAUUUCCAGCAGGGAAGACCCAACAACUUUUAUAAUAUGGGAUUUCUUUUAUUCUCAUGAUAAUAAUGUUCAUUGUGGAAAAUAAAAAAAAAUGAUAAAAUAAAAAUCAGCCAGAAUUCCAACUUCUGGAGAUUUUGGUGUCUUUCUGCAAAGUUCCUAUGCACAUAGAUACUUUAUAAAAUUAUGAACAUACUGUACAUACAGUUUUGGAAUAUGCCUUUUUCCUUCUGUCAUGAAAAAGUCUUCAAAUGCCUUUUAACAGCUACACAAUAGUUCACUACAUGAACCAACUCAAAUGUAACUAUUUUUGGCCUUUUGUUAUAAAUAACACAAGAACCCUCAGUCUUUGUUACAUAAUGUCCUAACAGAGUAGGGGAAAUGCUCCCCAAUCCGGUGCAAUGUCCUGUGCCCAGGGAAACCAAUU